UUUGGCGUAUUUCUUGCUUAUAGAGUAUUGGUGACGGAAAAUCGUCGCUAGUUGGUCCAUAUUGUCUAUGGAGGAUCCGAGCAAGCCGUUGAACCACUUAUACCUGAUCAACUUGGUGGUCCGAAAAAUCUUGCAGUGAGCUGCGUUACUAAGACCGUAGAGGUCAAUCUUGGCGUAAAAAUUAUUCAAGUGAUCUCGGGGAUCCCCAAUUUUGUCGAAUUGGGAGAUAUUGGGAUCCUGAAUCCGAGAAGCAACACUUCUUCCAUAAUAGCAUGAACAAAUGGGUAUUUCGAAUGGAC
rnacentral:lncRNA from 1 species